rnacentral:rRNA from 1 species
UGGCGGACGGGUGAGUAACGCGUGGAUAACCUGCCUUGCACCGGGGGAUAACACUUAGAAAUAGGUGCUAAUACCGCAUAAGCGCACAGAGCCGCAUGGCUCGGUGUGAAAAACUCCGGUGGUGCAAGAUGGACCCGCGUCUGAUUAGCUGGUUGGCGGGGUAACGGCCCACCAAGGCGACGAUCAGUAGCCGGCCUGAGAGGGUGAACGGCCACAUUGGGACUGAGACACGGCCCAAACUCCUACGGAAGGCAGCAG